AGAGCGAACGCUGGCGGCAUGCUUAACACAUGCAAGUCGCACGGGCAGGGGCAACUCUGUCAGUGGCGGACGGGUGAGUAACGCGUAGGUAUCUAUCCUUGGGUGGGGGACAACUGUGGGAAACUACAGCUAAUACCGCAUGAUGACCGAGGUCUAAAGGCGUCCGGGGUAACCUGGUGCGUCGCCUGAGGAGGAGCCUGCGUACGAUUAGCUAGUUGGUGGGGUAAAGCCUACCAAGGCGACGAUCGUUAGCUGGUCUGAGAGGAUGAUCAGCCACAUUGGGACUGAGACACGGCCCAAACUCCUACGGGAGGCAGCAGUGGGGAAUAUUGGACAAUGGGCGCAAGCCUGAUCCAGCAAUGCCGCGUGUGUGAAGAAGGUCUUCGGAUUGUAAAGCACUUUCGACGGGGACGAUGAUGACGGUACCCGUAGAAGAAGCCCGGCUAACUUCGUGCCAGCAGCCGCGGU
rnacentral:rRNA from 1 species